UGUCCGUAGGUGAACCUGCGGAAGGAUCAUUAUUGGAUUUUGAAACUUCAGGCUGCUGCUGGCUCUCCUCGGAGGGCAUGUGCACGCUUGUUGUCCAUUAUUUCUCCCACUGUGCCCAAAUUGUAGACCUUUCAGUAGGCCUAUGUUGUUUUUCACAAUCUCUGAAUGUAAUAGAAUGGUUUUGAAUCUUGGGCAAUACAAUACAACUUUCAGCAACGGAUCUCUUGGCUCUCGCGUCGAUGAAGAACGCAGC
rnacentral:misc_RNA from 1 species